rnacentral:rRNA from 1 species
AAGGGCGCAUGGUGGAUGCCUUGGCACUAGGAGCCGAUGAAGGACGGGACUAACACCGAUAUGCUUCGGGGAGCUGUAAGUAAGCUUUGAUCCGGAGAUUUCCGAAUGGGGAAACCCACCCUUAGGGGUAUCGCAUGAUGAAUACAUAGUCAUGCGAGGCGAACCGGGUGAACUGAAACAUCUCAGUAGCUCGAGGAAAAGACAUCAACCGAGAUUCCGAAAGUAGUGGCGAGCGAAAUCGGAAGAGCCUGCAAGUGAUAGCACAAGACUUAACGGAACGGCUUGGAAAGGCCGGCUAUAGAGGGUGAUAGCCCCGUACGUGAAAAGACCUGUGUGGUACUGAGCUUGCGACAAGUAGGGCGGGACACGAGAAAUCCUGUCU